AGGAAUUUGCCUCGAAGUCGAACAUAGCUUCGUGAAAACGGAGGUAAUAUUCGAUGGUGUCCUGUCAUCGCAUGGUGACAAGACUAAAGAUGGGGACCGCAAGGCCUACCACUUCGAGAUGACCUCCGCGUCCUAUCAGCUAGUUGGUGAGGUAAUGGCUCACCAAGGCUUUUGACGGGUAGCUGGUCUGAGAGGACGAUCAGCAACACUGGGACUGAGACACUGCCCAGACUCCUACGGGAGGCUGCAGUCGAGAAUCUUUAGCAAUGGGCGCAAGCCUGACUAUGCGACGCCGCGUGCAGGAUGAAGGCUUUCGGGUUGUAAACUGCUUUUGUCAGGAAAGAAAGCCCUGUAUCAUAACAUGGUGCAGGGUUGACGGUA
rnacentral:rRNA from 1 species